rnacentral:rRNA from 1 species
UGGGGAAUUUUCCGCAAUGGGCGCAAGCCUGACGGAGCAAUACCGCGUGAGGGAGGAAGGCUCUUGGGUCGUAAACCUCUUUUCUCAGGGAAGAACAAAAUGACGGUACCUGAGGAAUAAGCAUCGGCUAACUCUGUGCCAGCAGCCGCGGUAAUACAGAGGAUGCAAGCGUUAUCCGGAAUGAUUGGGCGUAAAGCGUCCGUAGGUGGUUUGUCAAGUCUGUGGUUAAAGCGCGAAGCUCAACUUCGUAAGGGCCAUGGAAACUGACAGACUAGAGUCAAGUAGGGGUAGAGGGAAUUCCCAGUGUAGCGGUGAAAUGCGUAGAGAUUGGGAAGAACACCGGUGGCGAAAGCGCUCUACUGGACUUGUACUGACACUGAGGGACGAAAGCUAGGGGAGCGAAAGGGAUUAGAUACCCCUGUAGUC